AUUAACUCAUCGCUUGUCAGAGAGCAUGGGAGCAAUUAUAUUUCUCCUGAUUCUGGCGCUUCUCAAGGACUAUGGUCAUGGAGCGCCACAGGAAGGUAUUACUGUGUGUGUUUCUCUGGGUUUAAUGACUACUGGUGGCACUCAACAAUGCUUGGACAUAGACAAGUGUGUUGGGAUCCCAGAUAUUUGUGGGAAAUGGGGAACCUGUCGUAAUCAGGGUUGUAUCUACCUGUGCACGUGUCCCAAUGGAUUUAGGAACUCUGGCAACGGACAAACUCCGUGUGUAGACAUUGACGAGUGUAAUACAGACGGAGUAUGUGGAAAUGUGGGCAUCUGUCAAAACCUGAUUGGCAGUUACUGGUGCCAGUGUCCUGCUGGAUUUACUAACUUUGGCAAAAACCAAGCUAAGUGUGUAGAGCUUAAUUGUGACCAGUAUGAAACACAGGCUGGACAGACUCUACCAGGCCUUGAUAGUUUAUUGUCUCUGUUGAGAAACAACUGUUUGGUGUUGAGCAACUCUAUGUUGCCUGGACCGACAAGACUGCUGCCAACUGGAGAUGUGCUUUUUACAUUACUGGUUAAUACCACUGAUGUUGUUCAACUGGGCCUCCAGUCCAAUGGUCACCGUAGUAGCAGUGAAGUGACUAAGUUACUGAGGACGAUUGAAAUCUCUAUCAGACUGAUCGCUCCACUGCUGACAGAGAACGUGACCAGGAUAGAGACCAACCACACAGAGGUUGAGAUUAUGGUGAGGAGAGACAAGACUCCACCUGAAGGACCAGUCAGCCUGACCAAUGAGAACACACAACUUGACACCACCUGGGAGACGGUGGUUGGAGAUGACCAGAAUUACCCAGGGUUUGCGUAUGUCGUUCUGCUCAACUAUAGGAAUCUGGAUAGUCUGAAGGACAACACUUCUCAUCAGAGCCAGCAGCUCAUGUCCAGUGCUGCGACAGUUUCCGUUAGCAACUCCAACACAACAUACCUGCCCCAACAGGGAAGCGGGCAGCUGUCGUUGGUGAUGUGGGUGGGUGUUUUUGUGGCACUGACCUGUGUGUUCCUGUCCCUGAUCACCACCCUGUGGUGUCGCUUUGUCAGCCGCAAACGCCGUGGAGGACACCGGCAGCAACAGGAUGUACAGCUACAUAGAAAAUAAGACAUGGAUUUGAACUAUUUGUGUUCUAAGAAAAGCUUUACUUGGAAUUAAUUUGUAACAUUGUCUCUUGGCUUGCAAGGACAUCCACAUGCCAGCAAUUAAAAAAAAAAAAGUAUUAUAAAAUGUAUCAAAAAAAACUAAAAUAUAAGAACACAACUUUAUAUUAAUAGAUAUACAAUAUCUCAUGUAUAGAACUCUUAGUUCUAGACUGUAGCAUAUGAGCUCUUAACUAUAUGUCAAAAUACAUACGUCAUUUUAGGCUCACGAGUUUUACUUAUAAUUUGUGGCAUGAAUCUUCCUAGAAUAGUGGUAUAUCCACCCAACGCUGCAUUUGUCAAGUAUCAAGCCACUUUGUUGUUGUUGUAACUAUUUUCUGAGAGCUAAUUAAGUGAAAAUAAUAUUUGGCCCUGUCAUUCAAUCAUCUUGCAAUAUUUUGCUCCAAUCUGAUUCAAAUAUCUAAAUACAAUUGGUCCCUUUCUUCAGCAAUAAAGCUAUACCAUACUGAAA